UAUUUGCAAAAAUGUAUGGAUGUAUAUUUAAUUGUGUACAGCCAAAAAAAUGUGAGUGGUCAAGAUACAUUUAAUUCGAGUUCGUAGUUUUGUUUUAUAGCAAUAAGCCUAAAUGGCUGCGUAGAUCAGUCAUUCUUGCGAGAAUGAAAAAAGAGAGUUCUGACAAGCAAUAGCGUCAUCAAGAAGUUGUUACUGGCUUUAGAGGCCAGAGUUAGAAGAUGGUGUCUUUGCAUGGGGUGGCAAACGAUGGGAAUACGAUAGGGGAACAAAAGGCGAUCAGAAGUGCCUCUAUCGGUUUGAUGGAUGUGCUACCAUAGCGAUUGACGGCGUAGUACAAAAAGAAUCGAUUGCCGGCAAGCUGACAAAAUUGAGUUUGUAGGUGUAACCGCUAUAACGCGAUUACUCGAGCUGUUCUUUAGGGAUGGCCACGGAUCGAUCGUAAAACAAAUUUGAUACCUUUGGAAAGCGAGAACUGUCAUUGUUACGAUAGUGCAUAUACGAGCAUGUCAUUCGAUAUUGGAUUUAAUAAGGUUAAUAAAUAAGAGAAAGAUAAUAAGAAAAGAAAUGACACAGCGGAUGAUCAAAAUAUUGUCAGACAAUCUGUUAAACUUGCGACGAGAGAAAAUUACAUUUUAGCUUAAUAUAACAUGGUCGCAGGUCGUUACUUUCGCGAUGCGCUGCCGGUGAAAGGAAGGAAGGGGAGUACGAGUAAUAGCAAAUUAAUUUAUGGAUGGCAGGAUGGAGCGGAACUGACCGUUCCUUGCCUUUCCCAAUCGAAUUAGCCGCUGUCUGCAGCGAUGGCCACGAACGAUGGUACUCUAGAAUGUUCAAACAACUGAAAUUUAAAAAAUUGUUAUAUAUUUUAAUUGUAAUGCUGCAUAAAUAUGCACAAAAUAUACGUGCGUGUCUAAAUUUUAUAUUAAAAUAAUAAUGAUUCUACGCUAAUAAAUAUUCUACGAUAAUAAGUAGAUUGAAUCGAGAUCGCAUUGUCAGAGCUAAUCAUUUUCUUAUGCGUAUUGACGCUAUUACUAGCCGCGCUACGCUUCCUUCUUGCAGG